UGACCAUUUCACUCAGACUGUAACCAUGAC
rnacentral:piRNA from 1 species